GUGGUUCUCAGAAGGUCAGUCUCCUUACC
rnacentral:piRNA from 1 species